rnacentral:lncRNA from 1 species
GAAACAAAUAUUAGAGCUAUAAGCAUGAUUCAACAGCUAGAACAGAACCAGAAUAUGAUACAAGUUCCUGUUUAUAACAGUAUUUUCAACAUUAUAAUAUCGAAUACCAAAACGGUAUAACCCAAUCGGAAAGGAAGUAAAUAUGCAAUUGAAACAGAAAUAUAAUCGAAACAUUUACACGUCGAAGCUGCGAAUGAUAUUCAAUUUUAAACGCGACAACUUAAGCACACAACAAGAACAACACGAUCAC